UAAUUCUCAACUCCUCUUUGAUUUUAUUUGAGAAGGGAGCUUGGAUCAUGGGGGCUGCCAGAGACUUUGGACCUUUGUGGUCCAGGACUUGGGCUCUCCUGAAAUGCAUUGGCUUGUGAUUGACUUUUUGACUUUGUGCGACAAGGCCUUCGGCAUGAUGAUGAUCGCUGUUUGCUGAAGUGCAGGAAUAAAGGGUCUCGUGCCUCUAAUAUUGUUGACCUCUCCUCACACUUGAGAAGUCUUCCUUCUUUGU
rnacentral:misc_RNA from 1 species